UUUGCGGCGGCCAUGGCCCAGGUGAGACGCCCGGUCCCAUUCCGAACCCGGAAGCUAAGGCCUGGCACGGCGAUGGUACUGCACCCGACAGGGUGUGGGAGAGUAGCACGCCGCCGCAUCA
rnacentral:rRNA from 2 species